GCAAGAUUAAAGCUCAAAGGAAUUGACGGGGGCCCGCACAAGCGGUGGAGUAUGUGGUUUAAUUCGAUGCAACGCGAAGAACCUUACCUGGUCUUGACAUCCCGAAGAUCUCCUGGAAACAGGAGAGUGCUUUCAUUGGAGAGAAUUCGGUGACAGGUGCUGCAUGGCUGUCGUCAGCUCGUGUCGUGAGAUGUUGGGUUAAGUCCCGCAACGAGCGCAACCCUCGCCAUUAGUUGCCAUCAUUUAGUUGGGCACUCUAAUGGGACUGCCGGUGUCAAACCGGAGGAAGGUGGGGAUGACGUCAAGUCCUCAUGGCCUUUAUGACCAGGGCUACACACGUACUACAAUGGCCGGUACAAAGGGCAGCCACAGUGCGAACUGGAGCAAAUCCCUUAAAGCCGGUCUCAGUCCGGAUCGGAGUCUGCAACUCGACUCCGUGAAGUUGGAAUCGCUAGUAAUCGUGGAUCAGCAUGCCACGGUGAGUACGUUCCCGGGCCUUGUACACACCGCCCGUCACACCACGGAAGUCGGUUGUACCAGAAGUAGUUGAGCGAACCUUCGGGACGCAGGCUACCAAGGUAUGGCUGGUAACAGGGGUGAAGUCGUAACAAGGUA
rnacentral:rRNA from 1 species